rnacentral:rRNA from 1 species
GGCUCUAUGCUUUUAUAAAGAGUCUAAUCUGCCCAGUGACUGUAAGUUUAACGGCCGCAGUAUCCUGACUGUGCAAAGGUAGCAUAAUAAUUUGCCCUAUAAUUGAGGGCUGGAAUGAAUGAUUGAAUGGGAUAUAAUUGUCUCUAAAAGGUUGUGUAGAAUUUAAUAUGUAUGUGAAGACGCAUAUAUUAAAUUAAGGGACGAGAAGACCCUAUCGAGCUUAAGGCUGAAAAUAUUUGGUAUCUAAAACCUUUGGUUGGGGCAACCCAAGAACAAAAAAAGUUUCUUGUUUAUAUGUCGAUCCAGUAUGAUUGAUUGCAGAUUUAGUUACCGUAGGGAUAACAGCAUAAUUUUUUUAUAGAGCCCCUAUCGAAAAAAGUUUGUGACCUCGAUGUUGGACUAAGAUACCUAUAGGGGCAGCUG